UUGGGGCCCCCCCCCGUGCGGUUAGACUGGGUGGGACUUAGAAGUUAUCGGGUGGUAGUUAUAAAAAGGAAUCUUACAAUUUUUAUACGAUAAAUUUGGAGGUGAAAUUUUGAGUUUUCGUUGUUUAAAUAUUAUUAGGAUUUAGGUUUAGAGGCUAUGAAAAUUUAGGUUUAAACUAGGAUUAGAUACCCUAUUAUACUAAACUUUUAAUUAACACACUUGAGUAGUAGUAGUUAUAUUCUUGAAAUUUAGAGGAUUUGGCGGCAUUCAAGUYUGGUUAGAGGAACCUGCUUCAUGAACGAUAUGCCACGAAUUAUCUUACUUUACUUAGUUUAUCAGUUUGUAUACCUCCAUUAUGUAAGUAUUAUUUUUAAGUACAUAUUGCAAUAAUUUUUUUUUUAAUGUAUUAGGUCAAGGUGCAGCUUAUAGUGAAGUGUUUGUGGGUUACAUUGUAUUUUAUAAUUUCGGAUAUAGAUUUGAAAUAGUUUUUUUAAGUUGGAUUUAAUAGUAAGUCCCUUUUAAUAAGUUGGUCUGAUAGUAGCUCUAGAAUGUGUACAAAUUGCCCGUCGCUCUCAUGAUAAGUGAGAUAAGUCACCC
rnacentral:rRNA from 1 species